GCCCCCAUAACUCAACGGUAGAGUAACUGCCUUUUAAGCAGUAAGUGGAGGUCCGAUUCCUCCUGGGGGCACCA
rnacentral:tRNA from 1 species